rnacentral:rRNA from 1 species
CAGCAGCCGCGGUAAUACGUAGGGGGCAAGCGUUAUCCGGAGUUAUUGGGCGUAAAGAGUGCGUAGGUGGUUACCUAAGCGCAAGGUUUAAUUUAGAGGCUCAACCUCUACUUGCCUUGCGAACUGGGCUACUUGAGUGCAGGAGGGGAAAGCGGAAUUCCUAGUGUAGCGGUGAAAUGCGUAGAUAUUAGGAGGAAUACCAGUGGCGAAGGCGACUUUCUGGACUGCAACUGACACUGAGGCACGAAAGCGUGGGGAGCAAACAGGAUUAGAUACCCCCGUAGUCCCUGUCUCUUAUACA